rnacentral:rRNA from 1 species
AUUGAACACUGGCGGCAGGCCUAACACAUGCAAGUCGAGCGAGCGGCGGACGGGUGAGUAAUGUCUGGGAAACUGCCUGAUGGAGGGGGAUAACUACUGGAAACGGUAGCUAAUACCGCAUACCAUAGGAUGAGCCCAAGUGGGAUUAGGUAGUUGGUGAGGUAAAGGCUCACCAAGCCGACGAUCUCUAGCUGGUCUGAGAGGAUGACCAGCCACACUGGGACUGAGACACGGCCCAGACUCCUACGGGAGGCAGCAGUGGGGAAUAUUGCGCAAUGGGGGCAACCCUGACGCAGCCAUGCCGCGUGAAUGAAGAAGGCCUUCGGUUUGUAAAGUUCUGUCGGUAGCGAGGCGUUAACUACAGAAGAAGCACCGGCUAACUUCGUGCCAGCAGCCGCGGUAAUUC